rnacentral:rRNA from 1 species
CUACGGGGGGCUGCAGUGAGGAAUAUUGCACAAUGGGGGGAACCCUGAUGCAGCAACGCCGCGUGGAGGAUGACGCAUUUCGGUGUGUAAACUCCUUUUAUAUGUCAAGAAAAUGACGGCAGCAUAUGAAUAAGCACCGGCUAACUCCGUGCCAGCAGCCGCGGUAAUACGGAGGGUGCAAGCGUUACUCGGAAUCACUGGGCGUAAAGGACGCGUAGGCGGGUUGGAAAGUCAGGUGUGAAAUCCUACAGCUUAACUGUAGAACUGCACUUGAAACUUCUAAUCUAGAGUAUGGGAGGGGGGGAUGGAAUUAGUGGUGUAGGGGUAAAAUCCGUAGAUAUCACUAGGAAUACCUAAAGCGAAGGCGAUCUCCUGGAACAUUACUGACGCUAAGGCGUGAAAGCGUGGGGAGCAAACAGGAUUAGAUACCCUAGUAGUC